AGGAUGCUGUGAUUUGGGAUUCAUCGAUGAGGGUUCAACAAAUGUGCAGCUACUCGACCCUACUGGUGGUGUGGUGAUAUAGCUGCCAUGAAUCAAUCCACACUACAACAAAAAAGGACUAGUCAUCAACCCAUUAAUGAAUGUUCAAGACCUUUUUCUAAAGUAGCCACAGUGAUUCAGCACACCCUAUGAACCAGAGAUUGGGGAAAAAUGAAAUUCUGACACCAAGCAAAACAAUACCAUGCUAUGAGGAUCUCUACUGUCCUGUGUGCUGUGACAUCUUCAGGGACCCUGUCCUACUAGAAUGUAGCCACAGCUUUUGUAAGAACUGCCUUCAGCGCUACUGGGACACAUCAGCCUGCAGAGAGUGCCCUGUAUGCAGGAGAAGAGCCUCAGAGCGCACCCCUCCCCCCAACCGGGGCCCUGAAGAACCUCUGUCAGGCUUUUCCACAGGGCACUGGUCAGAGCUCAAUUAAGGAAAAGAAGCUGCUCUGUAACCUGCAUAGAGAGAGACUCAAAGUCUUCUGCCUGGCAGACAACCAGCUCAUUUGUGUGAUGUGCAAAGCAUCGAGAAUACACAAGAACCAUGACUGCUCACGCGUAGAGGAGGCAGCACAUGAUUGCAAGAAUGAACUCCAAGCAACGCUAAAGAACUUACAGGAUACACAGGACUCCCUCAUUAAGCAGAAGGGGACCUCUGAAAAGAUGCUUGAGCACAUUAAGAAUCAGUCCCUGGCAACAGAGAAGCAGAUAUCUGAUGAGUUUUUAAAAACUCCACGAGUUCCUGAGUGAAGAAGAGGCAGUGCGGUUAGUUGCUUUGAAGGAGGAAGAGGAGAAGAUUGGAAAGAUGAAGCGUAUGAUGGCGAAGGCAGCAGCAGGGGUGCUGUCCCUUAUAGAGACAAUUACAGUCCUGACACAGAUGACUGCUGCUGCAGACAUUACAAUUCUCCAGGUUUGUGCUAGCACAAUUUACACAUCACAAACUAAAUGAAGCCAAAAUAAAUCACUUUGGAGCAUAACAAAGCGACUCUGCGCUUAGGCUGAUCUCUGACCCGCUAGUACCUCCCCUGGUCCAAGGGGAAUGACACAACUUCAUAUUUAAACACAUGGGUACUUUACUGCCAUACUUAUGCACAACUCACAGAGAAUAUAUAAAGGCCCUGACACACAACAGCACUCGGUGUCAGACGUUGCCAGUAACCAAUGAGAAAGCCUUCUUUGAAAUCGAAGAAGGCUGCCAUUUUGCCUGUGGCAACUCAUCCAAUGGCACCGGCUUAGCACAAGAAUCCCCAUGUUCUAAAAAGGCUCUCUGUAUGACAGGAAUGUAGAAAAUCAC